rnacentral:lncRNA from 1 species
UUCCCGAAGGCCACGGCUUUAAGAGCAUCCUACACACCAAGACGAAACUCCGUGGCUUUAAGACUUGCCUGGGAGCUGGGGCCCACCCCUCUGGCCGUCUUUCAGCAUCCAGAGUAUCUUUUCUGAGGACACAUUCUUACUAGACUGACAGUCCUUGAGUCAAGCAUGCAGUGAGGGUGUUAAGGAGGCUGGGGACAGGCUGCUGGUGGCAUCGAGGCCUUGUUGUGAUUCUUGCGGGAGAAAAAUGUCUACAGUGAGAAGGGAUGGAAGAAGCGAGUCUGUGCCUUGGAGUGUCCUCGACGGCACCGGAAGCUGAGCCUCAUCUGAGCGGCCCAGUCCUCAAUGG